GAACCUAAGGGACCAUGAGUUGGAAUCACGGCAAACUGUUGGUAUAUGACUCCAAUCCGGAUAUUUAAAGUUUACGGCGUUAGAAAUAUGUGACCAUUCGAUGGCUCGGGAAACCAACAUGGACCACAUGUCGGUAAAUUUUUAUCGAUAAGGCAGGACGCGCACUUUGCUAACAUUCCACUUUAUCAACACAUGAACUGGAAAGUACAGUCGUUGCAAUCGGCAUUAUGCAAAAAUGGAAGAUUAUCAUGAGAUUCAACCAGAUACAACUAUCUCUGACUUCGAUGCUCUGAAGAAGCAAAAACCAGACAACCGCUGGCAUGUGGCUGGUAUUAAGCGCCCGUCGACGUCGUUUUAAAAUUUUUUUUUCUACCUACUGCAUUGUUAUUAAGCGUUCAUCUCUUAAGGUUUCUGUCUGCUGGGGUAGCCACACUUUGAUUUUGUUGUUACAUACACACCGUCCCAAAAAAAUUUCAUACGCUGAGAGAAAAACGGAAGAGUUCUCAAACAAGUCUUACUCGUGCCAAAAAAUCGUUUGUUAAAAGUUAUCAAAAAAGGACUUUCUCUGGCAAACAUGCGAAACGUGCGACGAAAUUAAAACAGUUUAUUUCAAAAACACAUUUAGUCUUUUGAAAAAAAAUUUACUCUCUGUACAAGCAAGAAAUGUAAUUUCUAGCACUACUUCUUCGUUAUUCGAUGCUCCCAUACGGUACUUUUAUCCCAGCAAAUACUCGUUUUAUAUAAAACGAUGGAUAGUAGUUUGUUGUGUCGGCUCUUCAAUAAUUGUAGACAACAAAUGAAUUCUUAAAUGAAAUAAUAAUAAUGAUAUGACAGCAAUCUUGUAACUUAGGGACAAAAUAUUUCUUGACAAACUUCACUCUAUAAGAUAUAGAUAUUUUUAUCCUGAAAAGCCACCGUUUCGUAUGAAUGAUCCGCCUC